rnacentral:rRNA from 1 species
GACGAACGCUAGCGGCGUGCCUAAUACAUGCAAGUCGAGCGCAGGAAACUGACGGAACUCUUCGGAGGGAAGGCAGUGGAAUGAGCGGCGGACGGGUGAGUAACACGUAAGGAACCUGCCUCAAGGAUUGGGAUAACUCCGAGAAAUCGGAGCUAAUACCGGAUAGUUCAACGGACCGCAUGGUCCGCUGAUGAAAGGCGCUCCGGCGUCACCUUGAGAUGGCCUUGCGGUGCAUUAGCUAGUUGGUGGGGUAACGGCCCACCAAGGCGACGAUGCAUAGCCGAUCUGAGAGGGUGAACGGCCACACUGAGACUGAGACACGGCCCAGACUCCUACGGGAGGCAGCAGUAGGGAAUCUUCCACAAUGGACGAAAGUCUGAUGGAGCAACGCCGCGUGAGUGAUGAAGGUUUUCGGAUCGUAAAACUCUGUUGUAAGGGAAGAACACGUACGAGAGGAAAUGCUCGUACCUUGACGGUACCUUACGAGAAAGCCACGGCUAACUACGUACCAGCCGCCGCGGUAAUAC